CCUACGGGAGGCAGCAGUAGGGAAUAUUGCUCAAUGGGGGAAACCCUGAAGCAGCAACGCCGCGUGGAGGAUGAAGGUUUUCGGAUUGUAAACUCCUUUUGUUAGAGAAGAUAAUGACGGUAUCUAACGAAUAAGCACCGGCUAACUCCGUGCCAGCAGCCGCGGUAAUACGGAGGGUGCAAGCGUUACUCGGAAUCACUGGGCGUAAAGAGCGCGUAGGCGGGAUAGCAAGUCAGAUGUGAAAUCCUAUGGCUUAACCAUAGAACUGCAUUUGAAAAUGGUAUUCUAGAGUAUGGGAGAGGUAGGUGGAAUUCUUGGUGUAGGGGUAAAAUGCGUAGAGAUCAAGAGGAAUACUCAUUGCGAAGGCGACCUGCUAGAACAUAACUGACGCUGAUGCGCGAAAGCGUGGGGAGCAAACAGGAUUAGAUACCCCAGUAGUC
rnacentral:rRNA from 1 species